AUUGAACGCUGGCGGCAUGCUUUACACAUGCAAGUCGAACGGUAACAGGCCGCAAGGUGCUGACGAGUGGCGAACCGGUGAGUAAUGCAUCGGAACGUGCCCAGUCGUGGGGGAUAACGCAGCGAAAGCUGUGCUAAUACCGCAUACGAUCUAUGGAUGAAAGCGGGGGACCGUAAGGCCUCGCGCGAUUGGAGCGGCCGAUGUCAGAUUAGGUAGUUGGUGGGGUAAAGGCUCACCAAGCCUACGAUCUGUAGCUGGUCUGAGAGGACGACCAGCCAAACGGGGACUGAGACACGGCCCAGACUCCAACGGGAGGCAGCAGUGGGGAAUUUUGGACAAUGGGCGCAAGCCUGAUCCAGCAAUGCCGCGUGCAGGAAGAAGGCCUUCGGGUUGUAAACUGCUUUUGUACGGAACGAAAAGGUUUGGGUUAAUACCCUGGGCCGAUGACGGUACCGUAAGAAUAAGCACCGGCUAACUACGUGCCAGCCGCCGCAGUAA
rnacentral:rRNA from 1 species